ensembl:lncRNA
AAACCCCAUUUAACACGAAAAUCACGCAUUUUCUCUUCGAUAAGCAAGCAUUUAACUUGAAAAUCACGCAUUUUCUCUUCGCAAAUCCCCAAUUUAAGAGAAAAUCACGCGUUUUCUCUUCGUGAAUCCCCCAUUUAAGUGAAAAUCACGUGUUUUCUCUUCACAAGUCCCCCAUUUAAGCGAAAAUCACGCGUUUUCUCUUCGAGAAUCCCCCAUUUAAGCAAAAAUCACGCGUUUUCUCUUCGAGAAUCCCCAAUUUAACAUGAAAAUCACGCGUUUUCUCUUCACAAAUUCCCCAUUUAAGCGAAAAUCACGCCUUUUCUCUUCGCAAAUCCCCCAUUUAAGCGAAAAUCACGCCUUUUCUCUUUGCAAAUCCCCAAUUUAAGAGAAAAUCACGCGUUUUCUCUUCACAAAUACCCCAUUUAAGCGAAAAUCACGCCUUUUCUCUUCGCAAAUCCCCCAUUUAACCUGAAAAUCACGCGUUUUCUCUUCGAGAAUUCCCCAUUUAAGCAAAAAUCACGCGUUUUCUCUUCGCUUAAAUGGGGGAUUCUCGAGGAGAAAACACGUGAUUUUUGCUUAAAUGGGGGAUUCUUGAAGAGAAAACGCGUGAUUUUUGGCUUAAAUGGGGGAUUCUUGAAGAGAAAAUGCUUGACUUUCGCUGAAAUGGGGUAUUUGCGAAGAGAAAAUGCGUGAUCUUCGGGUUAAAUGGGGGAUUCUCGAAGAGAAAAAGCAUGAUUUUUGCUUAAAUUGGGGAUUCUCGAAGAGAAAACGUGAGAUUUUCACUGAAAUGCAGGAUUCUCGAUGAGGAAAUGCGUGAUUUUCGCUAAAAUGGGGGAUUUGUGAAGAGAAAACGCGUGAUUUUCGCUUAAAUGGGGGAUUCCCGAAGAGAAAAACGCGUGAUUUUCGGGUUAAAUGGGGGAUUCUCAAAGAGAAAACGAGUGAUUUUCAGGAUAAAUGGAUGUUUAUCAAAGAGAAAAUGCAUGAUUUUUGCUUAAAUGGGGGAUUCACAAAGAGAAAACGCGUGAUUUUCGCUGAAAUGGUGGAUUUGCAAAGAGAAAACGCGUGAUUUUCGCUUCAAUGGGGGAUUCUCGAAGAGAAAACGUGUGAUUUUCGCUAAAAUGGAAGAUUCUCAAAGAGAAAACGCGUGAUUUUCGGGUUAAAUGGGGGAUUCAUGAAGAGAAAACGUGUUAUUUUCACGUAAAUGGGAGAUUUGCGAAGAGAAAACGCGUGAUUUUCGGGUAAAAUGGUGAAUUCUCGAAGAGAAAACGCGUGAUUUUCGCUUAAAUGGGGGAUUUGCGGAGAGAAAACGCAUAAUUUUCGGGUUAAAUGGGGGAUUCUCGAAGAGAAAACGUGUGAUCUUUGCUUAAAUGGGGGAUUUGAGAAGAGAAAACGCGUGGUUUUCGGGUUAAAUGGUGGAUUCUCGAAGAGAAAACGCGUGAUUUUCGGGUUAAAUGGGGAUUUCGAAGAGAAAACGUGUGAUUUUCGGGUUAAAUGGGGGAUUUGCGAAGAGAAAGCGCGUGAUUUUUGCUUAAAUGGGGGAAUUGCAAAGAGAAAACGCGUGAUUUUUGCUUAAAUGGGAGAUUCCCGAUAAGAAAACACGUGAUUUUUGCUUAAAUGGGGGACUUGCGGAGAGAAAACGCAUAAUUUUCGGGUUAAAUGGGGGAUUCUCGAAGAGAAAACGUGUGAUUUUCGGGUAAAUGGGGGACUCUCGAAGAGAAAACGCGUGGUUUUCGGGUUAAAUGGUGGAUUCUCGAAGAGAAAACGCGUGAUUUUUGCCUAAAUGGGGGAUUCUCGAAGAGAAAACGCGUGAUUUUCGGGUUAAAUGGGGGAUUCUCGAAGUGAAAACGCAUGAUUUUCACAUAAAUGGGGUAUUUGCAAAGAGAAAACGCGUGAUUUUCGGGUUAAAUGGGGGAUUAUCAAAGAGAAAACGUGUGAUUUUCGGCUUAAAUGGGGGAUUCUCGAAGAGAAAACGCGUGAUUUUCGCUUAAAUGGGGGAUUCUCGAAGAGAAAUCGCGUGAUUUUUGGUUAAAUGGGGGAUUUGCGAGGAGAAAACGCGUGAUUUUCGGGUUAAAUGGUGAUUUCUCAAAGAGAAAAUGCGUGAUUUUCGCUUAAAUGGGGGAUUCUCGAGGAGAAAACGCGUGAUUUUCGCUUAAAUGGGGGAUUUGCGAAGAGAAAAUGCAUGAUUUUCGCUUAAAUGGGGGAUUUGCAAAGAGAAAUUGCGUGAUUUUCGGGUUAAAUGGGGAUUUGCGAAGAGAAAACGCGUGAUUUUCGGGUUAAAUGGGGGAUUCUUGAAGAGAAAACGCGUGAUUUUCGCUUAAAUGGAAGAUCUGCGAAGAGAAAACGCGUGAUUUUCGCUUAAAUGGGGGAUUUGUGAAGACAAAACACGUGAUUUUUGCUGAAAUGGGGGAUUCUCGAAGACAAAACUCUUGAUUUUCGCAUAAAUGGGGGAUUCUUGAAGAGAAAGUGCUUGAUUUUCAAUGAAAUGGGGUAUUUGCGAAGUGAAAAUGCGUGAUUUUUUGCUUAAAUGGGGGAUUCCUGAAGAGAAAACUCGUGAUUGUCGCAGAAAUGGUGGAUUCUCAAAGAGAAAACGUGUUAUUU